UUUUGAAUAAUUGGUUUCUGAUUAGGGUUUGUAUCUUUUUAUUUACUUUUUUUUUCUCUUGUUUUUGCAGGUGUAAAAAUAAUUUGUUGGAAGAGUUGUAAAAGUUUUUUUAAUUUUUUGAAAGUUUUUUUUAACUUUGUGUGAAAGUUUUUUUUAACUUUGUGUAGAAGUUUUCUACUUUACUCACAUAGAACCAGUGUGGUUGUUUUGUGUGAUUAUUUUCCUUGAGUCU
rnacentral:lncRNA from 1 species